rnacentral:rRNA from 1 species
GAUGAACGCUGGCGGCGUGCCUAAUACAUGCAAGUCGAGCGAACAGACGAGGAGCUUGCUCCUCUGACGUUAGCGGCGGACGGGUGAGUAACACGUGGAUAACCUACCUAUAAGACUGGGAUAACUUCGGGAAACCGGAGCUAAUACCGGAUAAUAUAUUGAACCGCAUGGUUCAAUAGUGAAAGACGGUUUUGCUGUCACUUAUCGAUGGAUCCGCGCCGCAUUAGCUAGUUGGUAAGGUAACGGCUUACCAAGGCAACGAUGCGUAGCCGACCUGAGAGAGUGAUCGGCCACACUGGAACGGAGACACGGUCCAGACUCCUACGGGAGGCAGCAGUAGGGAAUCUUCCGCAAUGGGCGAAAGCCUGACGGAGCGACGCCGCGUGAGUGAUGAAGGUCUUCGGAUCGUAAAACUCUGUUAUUAGGGAAGAACAAAUGUGUAAGUAACUAUGCACGUCUUGACGGUACCUAAUCAGAAAGCCACGGCUAACUACGUG